CAGUAAGUCGUGUAAGGUUUACGUGGAAACUGGGGUCAUGGCUGCUCCCGGCCCAGCGCUCUGCCUCUUCGACGUGGACGGGGCUCUGACCGCUCCCAGGCAGUGGUUGAAAAAUACGAUUACGUGUUUCCAGAAAAUGGCUUGGUAGCAUACAAAGAUGGGAAACUCGUGUCUAAACAGAAUAUUCAAGGUCACCUGGGUGAGGCCCUGAUUCAAGAUUUAAUCAACUACUGUCUGAGCUACAUUGCGAAAAUUAAGCUCCCAAAGAAGAGGGGUACCUUCAUUGAAUUCCGAAACGGGAUGUUGAACGUGUCUCCCAUCGGAAGGAGCUGCAGCCAAGAAGAACGCAUUGAGUUCUACGAACUUGACAAAAAAGAAAAUAUCAGACAAAAAUUCGUGGAGGAUCUGCGGCAAGAGUUUGCAGGGAAAGGCCUCACAUUUUCCAUAGGAGGCCAGAUCAGCUUUGAUGUCUUCCCCGACGGCUGGGACAAGAGGUACUGCCUGGGGCACGUGGAGAAGGACGGCUAUAAGACCAUUUAUUUCUUUGGAGACAAAACUAUGCCUNNNNNNNNNNNNNNNNNNNNNNNNNNNNNNNNNNNNNNNNNNNNNNNNNNNNNNNNNNNNNNNNNNNNNNNNNNNNNNNNNGGCCAUGCUGGAGGGGGGCCACCCCCCCCCCAAACCGUGCCGGCCUGCAAGCCCUCACUGCAGCCCCUGCUCUUCCUGAGCAGAAGGGAGAAGGAAAGCCUUGUCUAAACUCAAAAUAGAUUAAAGACUGAAGUGUGAGACCUGCAGCCACGUAACUCCCGGGAGAAAGGCGCGGCGGCACCGUCUCUGACAUCCCCUGAGCAAUGACCUCUCUGGACCUGUCUCCCGCGGCAUGGGGAACAAAGGCCAGAAUAAACAAGUGGCACUGCAUCCAACUGAAACUCUUCUGCACAGCAAAGGAAACCAUCAACAAAAUGGAAAGGCGACAUGCUGAAUGGGAGAAGGUACGGGCAGGUCGCAAAGCCGACAAGGAGUUCGUAUCCGCAAAAGACAGAGGAGGAUGCAGACAACCCACUAUCAGAAAAAGCAGCCCAAGUAAAAGAUGGGCACAGGACCUCACAGGUACUUCUCCAAGGAAGACGUACACAUGGCCGGCAGGUAGACAGCGGCCUCAGGGAAGCGAGCGUCAGAACCACGGCAAGGGAGCGCCUCGCACCUGUCCGAACGGCAGUCGCCACCAAGACGUCCAGCGACAAGAACUGGCAACGCUGUGGGGCGGCCCCUGCCUCCCCCGCUGAGGCGAAGCGAGCCCAGUACUGCCACUGCGGACCCUGCGUGGAGGUUCUUCAGAACAGUGGGCAUGAAACCACGGUACAGUCCAGGAAGAAGGAAAAACGCUUGUCAGGAGGGGUUCACGGGACCACCUCCACCAAGGGGUGUUUUGUGCCACCCAGCCCAGCCCUGGUCGGGGCACUCCGUCUACCCGGGGCGCAUGGUUUGCCAUCAUCCUACUGCAGACAGAACGCUGGGGCCCUCCCUGCUCCUGGGUCUUGCGGACAAUGUAACCACAUCCCCAACGGGACCCCCGGCAUCGCUACCAGAAAGGGGGCUUUGGUGAUGAGAAAGGACAGGACGCUUCACGACCUCCAACCCCAGGGCAGACGGUUCAAAACUUGUGGAAGUGAAGGAGUGCGGCAUUGCACCGGCCUGUGGUCAUCAGACGGACUCAGCCGAAUGACCGUGCCGCCUGCACGUGGCAGCAGCUGGCCGAGUGACCACCGCCCCAAGGACUUUGCACCCCACGGGCCCAGGAUGCAGGGGAGCCCUAUGUCCACCACACUGUGAAGAGCCCCAAGGGGUGGGUGGUAAGGGACCCAGCGUUCCUCCCCUGCCCAAGCCCGGGGUAGCACUGGGGGCAGCACACUACACCCCAGAAGCAGUUCCCAGGGCUGUUCGCCCUCCUUCUCAGGGAUCAGGAAAGGGCCUGAACUCCUCACAGACCAGGGGCUGCACUGUUUCUCUGCUGAUCUCUGAGCACAUCCACCCAGGCCUCCCUCACCCAGCCUUUGACCUGAGGGCUGGAAGCAGCCGGGUUGGACCUGCAGCUCUCCCUCUGCCCCCCGUGCGGUCCUCACGAAAGUGGAAGGCAGCCCUGGUCCAGAGCAGAGCCUUCCAAGAAAACGGUUCACAUGUCACUUCUCAGCAUCUGGAAACGUUGGGACCCACAGUCCUGCCACAGGCUGGUGCUGGGCCUCUGCUGGGGGCUGGCGGACCCGAAACCCAAUGGGGGGGCUCUGAUUACCCCACCUCCCCACCCCCUUCAUCACGGAGGAGCCUGUUCCCCACGCCUCCCCCGGCCCUGCCGGGCGUCCCUCAGGAUCAGCACAGGUGACAGCAAGAAGCAGGCUGUGAGGUCAGCCCCCGCGCCCUCCUCCCACCCCCUGACCACACACAGGGGAGAGGUUUCCCAGUGGCUCCCGGGACCCCCAUCCAGUGGCAUCUUUUCCUGGUUGAAUUUUACAAAUGAUACUGUAAUGACCUUCCAAAAUGACAAGGAGCAAAUUAAAGUGAUUCUGAGGUU
ensembl:lncRNA